rnacentral:rRNA from 1 species
GACGGGUGAGUAACACGUAGGCAACCUGCCCUCAAGUUUGGGACAACUACCGGAAACGGUAGCUAAUACCGAAUAAUUGUUUUCUUCGCCUGAAGAGAACUGGAAAGACGGAGCAAUCUGUCACUUGGGGAUGGGCCUGCGGCGCAUUAGCUAGUUGGUGAGGUAACGGCUCACCAAGGCGACGAUGCGUAGCCGACCUGAGAGGGUGAUCGGCCACACUGGGACUGAGACACGGCCCAGACUCCUACGGGAGGCAGCAGUAGGGAAUCUUCCGCAAUGGGCGAAAGCCUGACGGAGCAAUGCCGCGUGAGUGAUGAAGGUUUUCGGAUCGUAAAGCUCUGUUGCCAGGGAAGAACGCUUGGGAGAGUAACUGCUCUCAAGGUGACGGUACCUGAGAAGAAAGCCCCGGCUAACUACGUGCCAGCAGCCGCGGUAAUACGUAGGGGGCAAGCGUUGUCCGGAAUUAUUGGGCGUAAAGCGCGCGCAGGCGGUCAUUUAAGUCUGGUGUUUAAUCCCGGGGCUCAACCCCGGAUCGCACUGGAAACUGGGUGACUUGAGUGCAGAAGAGGAGAGUGGAAUUCCACGUGUAGCGGUGAAAUGCGUAGAUAUG